UACGUAGGGCGCAAGCGUUUGUCCGGAAUUAUUGGGCGUAAAGAGCUCGUAGGCGGCUUGUUGCGUCGGUUGUGAAAGCCCGGGGCUUAACCCCGGGUCUGCAGUCGAUACGGGCAGGCUAGAGUGUGGUAGGGGAGAUCGGAAUUCCUGGUGUAGCGGUGAAAUGCGCAGAUAUCAGGAGGAACACCGGUGGCGAAGGCGGAUCUCUGGGCCAUUACUGACGCUGAGGAGCGAAAGCGUGAGGAGCGAACAGG
rnacentral:rRNA from 1 species